UACGGAAGGCAGCAGUGGGGAAUAUUGGACAAUGGGCGAAAGCCUGAUCCAGCCAUGCCGCAUGAGUGAAGAAGGCCUUCGGGUUGUAAAGCUCUUUUAGUGAGAAAGAUAAUGACGGUACUCACAGAAGAAGUCCUGGCUAACUCCGUGCCAGCAGCCGCGGUAAUACGGAGAGGGCUAGCGUUAUUCGGAAUUAUUGGGCGUAAAGAGCGCGUAGGCUGAUUAGUAGUUAAAAGUGAAAUCCCAAAGCUUAACUUUGGAAUUGCUUUUUAAAACUGCUAGUCUAGAGAUUUGAAAGAGGAUAGAGGAAUUCCUAGUGUAGAGGUGAAAUUCGUAAAUAUUAGGAGGAACACCAGUGGCGAAGGCGUCUAUCUGGUUCAAAUCUGACGCUGAGGCGCGAAGGCUGGGGAGCGAAACAGGGAUUAGAUACCCGU
rnacentral:rRNA from 1 species